GAAUCUAUUCCAGUCCUAUCUAAUCCUUUUGACCCGAACCAACCCGUCAUUUUUUUUAACCCAAAUCAUUUUCCAAGUCUUCCAUCUUCAUCUUUCUACCUCGUCAAAGGAGAACGCGUAAAGGACCUCCUAAUCGGUGGCGUGAAGUUCCAAAGAAUGAAAAAUCGACCCCGAAGCAACGCGUGUUCGUCGUUCCCCGUCAAUCAAAGCAUAAGCUGCCUGCUCUAACGUCCUUUUCUGCUCUUGUUUGUACGACAGGGCAGGGUAUCCUAAAGCCAUCGUCCUUGAGCACUCAGAAAUGAGGCCACGUAACCCAACAAGGGCGCACAUUCAAUCCGAACCCUACACGCAAUUUCUAUCCGUUCAUUUUGUGAGGAUCAUUUGGGGAUAUUCAUUAGGGUUAAGAAUUUAGGCUUUUAAAAAUUGGAUGGGCCUUCAUUCGAUUUUUGGGAGCCCUUUUUCCUUUAAUUUUAAAACCAUAGUUCAUUCAUAUAUAUGAUCGUUUUUCGCUUUUGAGAGGGGUUUUUUUUCUUUUGGAGAGAUUUUCUUGAGGCUAGAGGCUUUCUUUAAGCCAAGGAAAUACGUAGAGAGUUUUUGAGUGUGAAGAUACUUAAACUAAGACAAAAGAAAAGAAAGAUUUUUGAGAAUUCUUAGAUAGAAUGAUAGAAAGAUUUUAAGUUCAAGCUUACAUAGGAUAGUAAUUUAUUACCUAGUUUUUUUUCCUCUGUUUUGUUUUGCUACCAAGUUUCUUCUCGAAUCCAAUUUUAGAUCAACAUUCUGCACGAGUCUGUGUUCCUUGUUGGUGUUAGUGUGGUGGAGUUCACUGCUACCCGUCUCCUACUCGUAACUACUUUAGUUCGCUGCCCUCGACAAGGUGUAAAAUUCAUCUGAUUUCGCCAUGAACUGUCUCCUUCCAACAUGUACAAAGAUCCUUAAAAGCUCAAAAUUAUCCUAUCAAGUCAGCCAAUAAAAAUAGACGUAAAGAUUGAGAAGUUAAAGAUUAUGGAUUAAAGCGGCCAAAAUUAGUUUUUCUAGUGCAAGCUUGUAUCUUUAUGAUCUUUGGGACUAAUCCCUGUUGUUCUUUAUUUUUCAUACUUAUCAUUUAUUAUUAUAUGUUUAGUCUAGGACGGGUACUCAAGAUGAUAAAAUUGGUCAAAAACCCAAAAGAAACGGGUCAAAAACCCAAAA